CUGCUUUAUUCGGANNANNNUUCUACGUGUAGAGAGCUGANNACGAAGAAUAAGAUCGCUACUCGUNCAGCANCGCGGUAAUACGGAGGANCAGCGUAUCCGGAUUUAUGGGUUUAAANGUGCGUAGGCGCUUAUUAAGUCAGGGGUGAAAGACGGUGGCUCAACCCAUCGCAGUGCCUUUGAUACCUGAUGAGCUUGAAUGAACUAGAGGUAGGCGGAAUGUGACAAGUAGCGGUGAAAUGCAUAGAUAUGUCACAGAACACCGAUUGAGAAGGCAGCUUACUAUGGUUUUAUUGACGCUGAGGCACGAAAGCGUGGGGAUCAAACAGGAUUAGAUACCCUGGUAGUCCACGCCCUAAACGAUGAAUACUCGCUGUUAGCGAUACACAGUUAGCGGCUAAGCGAAAGCGUUAAGUAUUCCACCUGGGGAGUACGCCCGCAAGGGUGAAACUCAAAGGAAUUGACGGGGGCCCGCACAAGCGGAGGAGCAUGUGGUUUAAUUCGAUGAUACGCGAGGAACCUUACCCGGGCUUGAAAGUUAGUGAAUCAUUUAGAGAUAGAUGAGUCCGCAAGGACACGAAACUAGGUGCUGCAUGGCUGUCGUCAGCUCGUGCCGUGAGGUGUUGGGUUAAGUCCCGCAACGAGCGCAACCCCUAUGUUUAGUUGCCAGCACGUUAAGGUGGGGACUCUAAACAGACUGCCUGUGCAAACAGAGAGGAAGGAGGGGACGACGUCAAGUCAUCAUGGCCCUUACGUCCGGGGCUACACACGUGCUACAAUGGAUGGUACAGAGGGCAGCAAGCUGGCAACAGCAAGCAAAUCUCAAAAAGCCAUUCACAGUUCGGAUAGAGGUCUGCAACUCGACCUCUUGAAGUUGGAUUCGCUAGUAAUCGCGUAUCAGCAAUGACGCGGUGAAUACGUUCCCGGGCCUUGUACACACCGCCCGUCAAGCCAUGGAAGUUGGGGGUACCUAAAGUAUGUAACCGCAAGGAGCGUCCUAGGGUAAAACCGAUAACUGGGGCUAAGUCGUAACAAGGUAGC
rnacentral:rRNA from 1 species